rnacentral:hammerhead_ribozyme from 1 species
ACCCAGCUGACGAGUUCCAAAUAGGACGGAACGCGCGUCCUGGAU